rnacentral:rRNA from 1 species
AUGGAAAUUACGUUAGGAGAUGCUACAAAAUUGCUUGAUAAUAUUAUGGCUAAUUAUUCUCAAUGGCACACCGAAAGAUCUUCUAGUAAAAAAGUGCAUGCUAUAGAAGAAAUCAAUGUUUUGAGUGAAAAGAUGGAUGAACUUAUGAAGAUGUUUGCUCCUAAAAAUACUCCUCUUGAUCCCAAUGAUAUGCCUUUGUCUACCUUGCUUGAGAAUAAUAAUGAAUCUAUGGAUGUGAAUUUUGUUGGUAGGAAUAGUUUUGGAAACAACGCUUAUAGAGGGAAUUUUAAUCCUAGGCCUUAUCCUAGUAAUCCAUCUAAUAAUUAUGGAAAUUCCUACAACAACUCUUAUGGAAAUUUUAAUAAGAUGCCCUCUAAAUUUGAGAGUAGUGCUAAAGAGUUUAUGAAUUCGCAAAAGAAUUUUAAUGCUUUGCCUGAAGAGAAAUUGCUUGAUGUUGAUGAUUUGGCUAGGAACGUUGAUAGAAGUUCUCUUGAAAUUGAUUCUUUAAAGCUUAUAUCUAUUCCUCCUAAGCAUGAUAUCAAUGAGUCUCUCAAAGCCAUGAGAAUUUCCAUUGAUGAGUGCAAGGAAAGAACCGCUAGGAUGCGUGCUUCUAAAGAUGCCUUUAUUAAAGCGUGUUCUUCCAAUACCUAUGAAAAUCAAUAUGAAGAUCUAAAAGGUAUUGAUGUAUCCCCCAUUAAAUCUUUGUUUUCCAAUAUGAAUCUUGAUGAAACUGAAGAUGAUCUUCCUUUACCUAGAAGGCGUUUUAAGAAUUCAGAGUUUCUAGAUCUUGAUGAUGAAAUUGAUGAAAGUGGGAUUGAAAGAAAUAAAUACCGAGAUGUUGCUAAACCUACUAUUUUGGAUCUCAAGGAAUUUAAUUAUGAAAAUUGCUCUUUGAUUGAUUGUAUUUCCUUGUUGCAAUCCGUGCUAGAUUCUCCUCAUGCUUAUAGUCAAAAUAAGGCCUUUACUGAACACAUUGUUGAUGCCUUGAUGCAAUCUUAUGAAGAAAAACUUGAGUUGAAAGUUUCUAUCCCCAGAAAAAUCUAUGAUGAGUGGGAACCUACUAUUAAAAUUAAAAUUAAAGAUUAUGAGUUUCAUGCUUUGUGUGAUUUGGGUGCUAGUGUCUCCACUAUUCCCAAAACUUUGUGUGAUUUGCUAGAUUUCCGUGAUUUUGAUGAUUGA